UUUUCGUAGGUGAACCUGCGGAAGGAUCAUUAAUGAGUUGUCAUGGGGUUCGAUGCUGGCAGCCAGUUUUUGGAUGCAUGUGCUUGCCCUAACAAUCAUCUUCUUCCAAACACCUGUGCACAUUUUUGAGGGAGUCUUGAGUUGGUUGCCGCUCUUGGGUGGUUUUCUCACAUUCCCUUAAAUCAUUAUACGCUGUUAACAAUGUUGAACGUGCUCUGUGCCGCAAGGCCAUUAAUAUAAUACAACUUUUAACAACGGAUCUCUUGGCUCUC
rnacentral:misc_RNA from 1 species